GGGAUUGCCCCAGUAACGGCGAGUGAAGCGGCAAGAGCUCAAAUUUGAAAUCUGGCCUCCCCCGGGGGUCCGAGUUGUAAUUUGCAGAGGAUGCUUCGGGCGCGGCCCCCGUCUAAGUUCCUUGGAACAGGACGUCAGAGAGGGUGAGAAUCCCGUCUUGGGCGGGCGGCCCGCGCCCGUGUGAAGCUCCUUCGACGAGUCGAGUUGUUUGGGAAUGCAGCUCUAAGCGGGUGGUAAAUUUCAUCUAAAGCUAAAUACCGGCCGGAGACCGAUAGCGCACAAGUAGAGUGAUCGAAAGGUUAAAAGCACCUUGAAAAGGGAGUUAAACAGCACGUGAAAUUGUUGAAAGGGAAGCGCUUGCGGCCAGACUCGGGGGGCGGGGUUCAGCGGGCGCUCGUCGCCCGUGCACUGCCCGCUCCCCGGGCCAGCAUCAGCUUCGACGGCCGGUCAAAGGCCCCCGGAAUGUGUCGUCUCUAGGGACGUCUUAUAGCCGGGGGUGCAAUGCGGCCCGUCGAGACUGAGGAACGCGCUCCGGCUCG
rnacentral:rRNA from 1 species